AUGCUUGCAGUCCUUGUGCAGGGAAGAAAUCACCGAGGAGAUGCUGCCUGUCCGUGCUUCUCGUGCGGCCCUCUCAGGAACGUGUCGUUCCCAUUCCGCCGGGCAGGUGAUCCAGCAGGAUGCGGCGACAAAUCGGGCGAGCUAGCCUGCGCCGAUGCCAAGGCCAUGCUUCGCAUCGCAGAUGCAACGUACUACGUGACCAGCAUCAACUACACCGAUUCCACCUUCCAGAUCAUCGACACCGACCUGGAUCUCCACAGCAAUUGCCCCCGUCUUCCUCGGUGGAACCGGCGACCCCAUGAAUAUCUGGACGGGACGGAAGAACACCUACUCUGGCUCUUUGACUACGACGACAUCGGAGCCAACUUGGCCCUCGUGACGUACAAUCUGGCUAGCUUCGUUGAAUGUUCCCAGGAAGUGAGGAACUACGGUAUGUACAUGCCCGUCGCUUGCAUGAGCACCAGCGAUUCUUUUGUCUAUGUGUUAACCGGUCCAGGUGCCUCUCGUGUCGAGAACCUUGAGCCUUGGUGCCGGUAUCUGGCCAUGACUCCUCUGGGUGGUCCGGAGAAUCGUCUAGAUAUCGGGGCGACCGCGCUGGAGAACGCAAGCUACACGGAUGUGGUGAAGUCCAUGAGGACCGGGUUCGCCGUUCGGUUUACACCGUUCACGAGCUUUAAGGACUGCCUACUGCGCCUCAUCCGCACAUUUCGCGAAGAACCAAUGCAAAGAGGAUCCAUAAUUUUGAACCCUGAUCUAUAUAUUAUUGAAUGUGGAAUUGAAGCAGCUCCAGCACCCUACGUCCGUGCGUGCCUGAUAAUAUUACUAUUUGUCACGAGGACUUUCAAGUGGAUUAAUGGACCAUAUAGAUUCCUGUGGGGGUACUUGGCAGUUUGGACUUUCUUUGCUUACAAGUAUUGGAAAACAAGGAUAACAAUUGAUGCAGUGGAGAAGUUUCUCCGCAUGCAACAAAUGCUCACCCCAACUAGGUAUGCCUACACAGACAUCACUGCAGUUACAGGUCAUUUCCGAGAUAAGUUGGGCCAAGGUGGUUACGGCUCCGUGUUCAAGGGUGUGCUACUUAAUGACUUCCAUGUGGCUGUCAAGAUGCUAGCGGGUAACUCUAACUGCAAUGGAGAAGAUUUCAUCAGUGAAGUUUCCACCAUUGGUAGGAUCCACCAUGUUAAUGUGGUGCGUCUUGUCGGGUUCUGCUCGGAAGAAAUGAGGAGGGCUCUCAUCUAUGAGUACAUGCCUCGAGGUUCUCUCGACAAGUACAUCUUCUCCGCCAAGAAGAGUUUCUCUUGGGACAAGCUCAUUGAUAUCGCUUUGGGCAUUGCCCGAGGAAUCAACUACCUACAUCAGGGGUGUGAGAUGCAGAUUCUCCACUUUGACAUCAAGCCCCACAACAUCCUUCUUGAUAGCAAUUUUGUCCCCAAAGUUGCUGAUUUCGGUCUGGCCAAACUAUACCCAAGGGACAACAGUUUUGUGCCAUCAAGAGCCCUACGGGGAACAAUCGGGUACAUAGCUCCUGAGAUGAUAUCUCGGAGCUUCGGUGCCAUAUCGAACAAGUCUGAUGUUUACAGCUUUGGGAUGCUGCUGCUGGAGAUGGCUGGAGGAAGAAGGAACGCCGAUCCGAACGCAGCGAACUCGAGCCAAGCAUACUACCCUUCAUGGGUGUAUGACCGGCUAAUCGAACAAGAACAUGUAGGUGAGAUAUCCACUCAUGUUGAUACUGAGAUGCAUGAGUUGGAGAAGAAGUUGUGCAUCGUCGGAUUAUGGUGCAUCCAAAUGAAAUCCCAUGACCGUCCAAUGAUGAGCGAGGUUAUAGAGAUGCUAGAAGGAAACGCCGACAGCUUGCAGAUGCCUUCCAGGCCAUUCUUCUGCGACGAAGGGCACAUCCAUACGGAGGAUACUUACAAUUUGUCGUCCGAGUUGACUGAAAUCUCCGAGGAGGAUAUGAGUGAAAAUAUUGAUGUGUGA
rnacentral:rRNA from 1 species